rnacentral:rRNA from 1 species
AUACAUGCAAGUCGAGCGGACAGAAGGGAGCUUGCUCCCGGAUGUUAGCGGCGGACGGGUGAGUAACACGUGGGUAACCUGCCUGUAAGACUGGGAUAACUCCGGGAAACCGGAGCUAAUACCGGAUAGUUCCUUGAACCGCAUGGUUCAAGGAUGAAAGACGGUUUCGGCUGUCACUUACAGAUGGACCCGCGGCGCAUUAGCUAGUUGGUGAGGUAACGGCUCACCAAGGCGACGAUGCGUAGCCGACCUGAGAGGGUGAUCGGCCACACUGGGACUGAGACACGGCCCAGACUCCUACGGGAGGCAGCAGUAGGGAAUCUUCCGCAAUGGACGAAAGUCUGACGGAGCAACGCCGCGUGAGUGAUGAAGGUUUUCGGAUCGUAAAGCUCUGUUGUUAGGGAAGAACAAGUGCAAGAGUAACUGCUUGCACCUUGACGGUACCUAACCAGAAAGCCACGGCUAACUACGUGCCAGCAGCCGCGGUAAUACGUAGGUGGCAAGCGUUGUCCGGAAUUAUUGGGCGUAAAGGGCUCGCAGGCGGUUUCUUAAGUCUGAUGUGAAAGCCCCCGGCUCAACCGGGGAGGGUCAUUGGAAACUGGGAAACUUGAGUGCAGAAGAGGAGAGUGGAAUUCCACGUGUAGCGGUGAAAUGCGUAGAGAUGUGGAGGAACACCAGUGGCGAGGCGACUCUCUGGUCUGUAACUGACGCUGAGGAGCGAAAGCGUGGGGAGCGAACAGGAUUAGAUACCCUGG